rnacentral:rRNA from 1 species
AUGAGAACAGAGCCAGUACAUUGGGCUAGGGCAUUUUUUCCUACAAGAACUAACUGUGAAUCAGUAGAUAAUAAUCUUUGUGAGUCAUUCAACAAUGCCAUUAUAGAAUCAAGGUUCUAUCCAAUUAUUUCACAGCAAGAGAUGAUAAGAAAGAAGAUGCUUGUUAGGGUGCAGGAGCAGAGAGCCAAAGGGGCAAAUUGGAAGGGCAAAAUUUGCCCAAAUAUUUUCAGGAAACUCAAGGUAAGUAUUAGAUUGACACAGUACAUUGAUGUGCUCUGGAAUGGCAAGGAGGGGUUUGAGGUGCAGCACAUGAAGGGCAGAAAAAAGAAAUACACAGUAAAUCUUGAAAAAAGGAUAUGCACUUGUGGUUACUUUCAACUGUCAGGUCUGCCUUGUUGUCAUGCUAUUGCAGCAAUUUACAAGAGUGGAAGAAAGGUAGAUGACUACAUAGACAAGUGCUACUGGAUUGAGACAUUCAACAAAAUUUAUGAGCAUUGUCUCCAGCCUGUUCUAGGAGAAGAAAACUGGCUUGUGUCUCAAAAUCCUAGGCCAGUAGCACCUGGAUACAUUGCUAUGCCAGGAGCAAGGAAGAAAAACAAUGGCAGGAGGAGAGAAGAGGGUGAAGCUCCAAAGGGGAAGAAAAUGAGCAAGCAUGGCAUACAGAUCACUUGUGGAUCCUGUGGGCAUAAGGGGCACAAUAAAAGUGGUUGUAAAAUGAAUGAAGAUAGAACACAGAAAACUAAAUCAUAUCUUGGGAAAAGAAGGAGAAAGCGAAGGGAAACAGAGGUACUACUAUGA